rnacentral:rRNA from 1 species
UAGGGAAUCUUCCACAAUGGACGCAAGUCUGAUGGAGCAACGCCGCGUGAGUGAAGAAGGUUUUCGGACCGUAAAGCUCUGUUGUUGGUGAAGAAGGAUAGAGGUAGUAACUGGCCCUUUAUUUGACGGUAAUCAACCAGAAAGUCACGGCUAACUACGUGCCAGCAGCCGCGGUAAUACGUAGGUGGCAAGCGUUGUCCGGAUUUAUUGGGCGUAAAGCGAGCGCAGGCGGAAGAAUAAGUCUGAUGUGAAAGCCCUCGGCUUAACCGAGGAAUUGCAUCGGAAACUGUUUUCUUGAGUGCAGAAGAGGAGAGUAGAACUCCAUGUGUAGCGGUGGAAUGCGUAGAUAUAUGGAAGAAUACCAGUGGCGAAGGCGGCUCUCUGGUCUGCAACUGACGCUGAGGCUCGAAAGCAUGGGUAGCGAACAGGAUUAGAUACCCUGGUAGUCCAUGCCGUAAACGAUGAGUGCCAAGUGUUGGGAGGCUUCCGCCUCUCAGUGCUGCAGCUAACGCAUUAAGCACUCCGCCUGGGGGAGUACGACCGCAAGGUUGAAAC